ensembl:misc_RNA Y_RNA Y RNA
GGCUGGCCCAAGGUAGUGAGUUAUCUCAAUUGAUUGUUCACAGUCAGUUACAGAUCAAACUCCUUGUUCCACUCUUUCUCUCCUUCUCACUAGUGUGCUGGACUAGUCUUAG